GGAACUGUGAAAACUAUGAUGCAGUGGACGAUCUUCGUGUUUGUCGCUUGCACCUUUGCUGUGGUCCUAACGGCUAAAAAUCUAGAAUGCCCCUACUGUGAAAGCUUCACUACCUUGGAGGAUUGUGAUAACGAUUCAACAACGCAAGAUUGCCAGCCAAAGAAUGUAUGCUUCGUGAGAAAGAAAAUGUUCGGCCCUACGCCUUACUUCAUGCGAGGCUGUAUUAAAAAGAAAACGGCUAAAGGGAUACAAUCCAAAUGCAAAAAGGGCAGCUUAGUGAAAAAUGACUGUCAUUUUAACAUCUGUAAGGGGAAGGGAUGUAAGGCAUCUCUUCCAAUUGACAACUGAUUUUGCAUACAGCGGAUAAGGAGUAAGGAAUUUCCCUCAGGAGUGUGGAUCAUACAAUAAAAGCUCAAGAACGAACUUUUACGAAACAUUUCAAAGUUGUCCCGUUUUCUAACUUUGUGUGUGUCAUAUUGCUUUUAUGGUGAAGUUUACAAUAAAUGAUC